rnacentral:rRNA from 1 species
AGAGUUGAUCAUGGCUCAGGAUGAACGCUAGCUACAGGCUUAACACAUGCAAGUCGAGGGGCAGCAUGAUCGAAGCUUGCUUGAUGAUGGCGACCGGCGCACGGGUGAGUAACGCGUAUCCAACCUUCCCUAUAGUAGAGGAUAGCCCGGCGAAAGUCGGAUCAAUACUCUAUGUUUUCCAAUGCAGACAUCUAAGUUGGAACAAAGGUUUACCGCUAUAGGAUGGGGAUGCGUCUGAUUAGGUUGUUGGCGGGGUAACGGCCCACCAAGCCUACGAUCAGUAGGGGUUCUGAGAGGAAGGUCCCCCACAUUGGAACUGAGACACGGUCCAAACUCCUACGGGAGGCAGCAGUGAGGAAUAUUGGUCAAUGGGCGAGAGCCUGAACCAGCCAAAAGUAGCGUGCAGGAUGACGGCCCUAUGGGUUGUAAACUGCUUUUAUACGGGGAUAAAGUGAGGGACGUGUCCCUUUUUGUAGGUACCGUAUGAAUAAGGACCGGCUAAUUCCGUGCCAGCCGCCGC